UAUUGCAGAAAAAAUCAAAGCAAAAUACAGCCAAUAGGAAAAAGCAGCGGGUGAACCACACUGCAGGCAGAAAAUCUUUUGUGAGGUUAAUACAAGAGAUGGGUCCAAGCGCAGACAACUUGGUUAAUUUCUACAAAGAAACUCAUUGGUCAAAGAAAAAAGGGACAUUUGUCACUCCCAUGACAGAAACUUACUAUGUGCGUGCUCUCUAACUUAGUGCCUUUCCGUGAGUUUGUUCCAUUCAAGGAACCCCAUUUAACAUUGGUUAUUUCCCAUAACAUUAACUCAUACAAUAUGUAUUGAUUGCAUCAGAAUACAAUGUGUGAGAAAUUAGAUGAGAUUCAGCCUGAGGAGCGCACAGAUGAGGCUGCAAAUACAAUAUUCAGAGAGGUGCUAGGCCAUAGGUCUGGUUAUACAAGAGGACUUGGUGGUUCAGUUAUAACUGAGACUAGACCAUCAGCUAUGUUGGCACAACUUGAGCACCUAGGCCAAGAAAAUGAGAAGUAUAAAAAUAGGCAUUGAUGUACAAGACAGAAUUGGAUGAGAUGAAAAGGGAUGUCAGACAAUUAUUAGUUUGGCAAAUGUCCUAUGACAAGAGGAUGGAUGACUCAACAUCUCAAAGAGUGUCUAAUAGAGACACUCAAGGAGAUGUUUAGCUGGAUGGGAUUCUAAACUGGGAGUGAUUUUGAUAUUUUGUUAAGUAUUACUAACUUUUGGUGGCAGGAACAUAUUUACAUACAUAGUUGUGGUGGGGGACAUGGUGCAGGUUUUCUGAAGUUGGUUUUAGUUGCUGGAAUGGCAUCCCAACAGAGUGAUGGGCAUAUAAUUGUUGGAACUGGGGCUGUGAAACAGUUUGUUAAAGGCUUCUCUGGCCCUUUGUAUAUAUGACAGGUAACAUGAUAUGAGCAAAGCUUGUAAUGUUUUGAUGCACCAAUGAACCUGCCUACAGGAUGCUAUAUAUAGACUUCACUCCCAGGUUUAAAUGUAUAUAUAGCCAUGUUGAGGACUGAUCCCAUGAGUGGCACAUGAUAUUUCUAGCACACCAGUGGUAGAUACUAUAUAUUUAAGAAUAUAAGCUUGAUUUUGCAUGACAUUUCCUCUUUAUGUCGUGUAUAAUGUAUAAUGUUCUGAACGUAAAUGAGAUGUUAAUUCAAGCUUCUAUGAAAACUAGAUGGCAAUA